AUUGAACGCUGGCGGAAUGCCUAACACAUGCAAGUCGAGCGGGGUGUAGCAAUACACCUAGCGGCGGACGGGUGAGGAAUACAUAGGAAUCUACCUUUAAGUGGGGGAUAGCCCGGGGAAACCCGGAUUAAUACCGCAUGAUCUCGCAAGAGCAAAGCGGGGGACCGUAAGGCCCCGCGCUGAAAGAUGAGCCUAUGUCGGAUUAGCUAGUUGGCGGGGUAAAGCCCACCAAGGCGACGACCGUAGCUGGUCUGAGAGGACGAUCAGCCACACCGGAACUGAGACACGGUCCGGACUCCUACGGGAGGCAGCAGUGGGGAAUAUUGGACAAUGGGCGCAAGCCUGAUCCAGCAAUUCCGCGUGUGUGAAGAAGGCC
rnacentral:rRNA from 1 species